GCUCCAAUAGCGUAUAUUAAAGUUGUUGCAGUUAAAAAGCUCGUAGUUGGAUUUCAAGAGACGCAGCAUGGAUAACAUGUCUGCCUCUACCAGUCUUAGACUGUUACUGUGAGAAAAUUAGAGUGUUUCAAGCAGGCUGUUGCAGGAAUACAUUAGCAUGGAAUAACGAGUGUGUCUAGAAUCUUGGUUAAUUCUAGAUU
rnacentral:rRNA from 1 species